CGGGGUGUAGCGCAGUCUGGUAGCGCACCUGCCUUGGGCGCAGGGGGUCGUCAGUUCAAAUCUGGCCACCCCGACCA
rnacentral:tRNA from 1 species